rnacentral:rRNA from 1 species
UACGUAGGUGUCGAGCGUUGUCCGGAUUUAUUGGGCGUAAAGAGCCCGCAGGCGGCUUGGCAAGUUUGAGGUGAAAUCUCCCGGCUUAACUGGGAGGGGGCCUCGAAAACUGCCAGGCUUGAGGCAUGGAGAGGGAUGCGGAAUUCCCGGUGUAGUGGUGAAAUGCGUAGAUAUUGGGAAGAACACCAGUGGCGAAGGCGGCUAUCUGGACCGGAACUGACGCUGAGGCGCGAAAGCGUGGGGAGCAAACAGG